UACAGAGGGUGCAAGCGUUAAUCGGAAUUACUGGGCGUAAAGCGUGCGUAGACGGUCAUGUAAGUCGGGUGUGAAAGCCCCGGGCUCAACCUGGGAAUUGCAUUCGAGACUGCAUGGCUAGGAUGCGGAAGAGGGAAGCGGAAUUUCCGGUGUAGCGGUGAAAUGCGUAGAUAUCGGAAGGAACGCCGGUGGCGAAAGCGGCCUGCUGGACCUCUUCUGACGCUGAUGCGCGAAAGCCAGGGGAGCGAACGGG
rnacentral:rRNA from 1 species